GCCGAAGUAGCUCAGUUGGUAGAGCGCCUCGCUGUUAGGACGAUCGGCUUUCCCCGUUCGUCGCAGUCACGAGGCGGUCCCAGGUUCGAGUCCUGGCUUCGGCG
rnacentral:tRNA from 1 species